CAACCUUUCAGGGAAGCAAGGUCGUUUUUCAAGUGAGAAGAGUAUGUCAGCAAGGGAGCCAUUGCUCAUGUACUCGUAUACCAGGAGCCUGUGAUGUUCAUCAUGGCAAUAGCCGAGCAGACGGGCUAGGUUUCUUUGAUUUUUUUUGGAGAGAUAAAGGAGGACAAGAGAAAGUAUUGAAUGUGAGUGUUAUCAGUCAUUUCUUAUAUAUUAUAUAUAUGAGGGUGUAUAAAGGAAAUCCCCUCAGAUUCAGCCAAUAUUCAAAUUUCCCAGAUUCAGCCAAUAUUCACUUGCCUCUUGCCCAUGAUCCUGCAACCAUCAUUCAAGCAUAAUAUCAAGCUUGUAACGGCAGACAAAUCUUCAACGUAAAUGCAGUAUAAAUGUCAAGACGUAAUCUUAGCUUACUUUCUAAAUUCAAACCUGCAAAGCUGUGUAUAUAUAUGUUAACAAUUGUAUUACUCAAGGUGUGGCGAAAUAUACAAUUCUGAAGUUUAUCAAAUAGCUCAACUCUCUGAAAUUUCUUAUCUUCAUCAUGGUAUCAGAGCAACAAAUCUCCAACGAGAAUUUGAUCCCUCACAAUCCUAUCUCAACCCCAUCCUCUCCAACUGAAACACCUCUGAUUGCCCUCAACAUCACAUCCCAGAUAAAUGAUAAACUUACCCCCUCUACAUUCCUUCAAUGGCGCGCUCAGUUUGAAGCCUUACUCAUCGGGUAUGAUCUCCUUGAUUAUGUCACUGGAGAAAAAAUCUGCCCUGUAUCCACCAGCACAGCAGUCUGCGCCAUCCAACGAACACACUGGAUAAGGCAAGAUAAGCUUAUCCUCAGUGCCAUUUUGGCAUCCACAUCCACUGUUAUUACUCCUCUCAUCUCCAUGGCCAAGACAUCAAAGGAUGCAUGGCAUAAAUUGCAUACUCUGUAUGCAAGCAAGUCCAGAACCAGAGCAAUGCAACUUAAGGAAGAACUCACAAUGAUAAAGAAGGGCAACCAGUCAAUUCAAACUUAUCUUCAUUCUGUAAAAUCGUUGGCAGACGAAAUCUCCCUCAUAGAUCACCCAAUCUCUGAAGAUGAUCUAACACUCUAUAUUCUAAAUGGCCUGGGAACUGACUUUCGUGAAAUUGCAGGCCCUAUUCGCGCCCGAGAACGACCACUCACUUUUGAGGAACUUCAUGAUCUCCUUGUAAGUCAUGAUGCAUAUCUUCGCCGUCUUGAUGCCUCCUCCCAUCUGAUUGCUUCUGCAAACUACACGCACCGACGGGCUUCGUAUAAUCAAGAAAAUCAGUCUUUUAAAUCUGCCCCAAACCCCACUUUUUUGACAGAUCAUAUGGGCUUCACUAUCGCCAGCCUGGCAAUCCGAGAGACACAACAAAAAUCAUGGACCACGUCGUUUUCCUCCAGCUCCAAAGUGCCAACUAUGUGACCGCAUGGGUCAUACUGCCAAACACUGCAGUCGGUUUCAGUAUACCACCCCAACAGCGAAUUGCACUUCCACCUCACCCGCACAGGAUACAAAAUGGCUUAUAGACUCAGCCGCGUCUCAUAAUAUUACUGGUGAUCUUGCUAAUCUAUCUAUUCAUUCCGAAUACGAUGGCACAGACGAAGUUAUCAUUGGUGAUGGUUCAGGUUUGCCUGUUUCUCACAUUGGCUCCUUACAUCUUCAUUCCCCCACACGUACCUUCCAUUUAAAUGACACCCUUUGUGUUCCUAAUCUACAAAAAAAAUCUCAUAUCUGCUCAUCAAUUUACUCGUCAAAAUCAUGUCUUUAUUGAGCUUCACCCCUCUUUCUUUUUUGUUAAGGACAAGAUCACGGGAGCGGCUCUAUUCCGAGGAGCGUGUGAGAAUGGUGUUUACAUCCUUCCGAAGUCAAUGGUGCAGCCUUCUCAUCCUAUUGUUGCUAAUGUGCAUGAAAGGGUCUCCAUGGACGGAUGGCACAAACGCCUUGGGCAUCCCUCUCCUAAAUUGGUCACUCACCUUAUCAAAUCAUUUUCCCUUCCAACAAUAAAUAAAAAAAAUAUUUCUCUUUGUUCCUCAUGUUCUAUUAAUAAAGCUCAUCGUCAACCAUUUCGUCAAAACAGUCUCUUGAGUCAUGCCCCUCUUGACUUACUUUAUACUGAUGUGUGGGGUCCCUCAAGUACAAUUGGCAUUACUGGGGCUCGUUACUAUCUCAUUUUUGUUGAUCAUUUCACAAAAUACAUUUGGUUUUAUCCUAUGGAGACUAAAUCCAGUGUCCGCAUCAUAUUUCCUCAAUUCAAAAAUCUUGUUGAAAAUCGGUUUCAGUUAAAAAUUAAAUCUGUCUAUUCUGAUAAUGGUGGUGAAUUUGUUGCCUUAAAACAAUAUUUUACAACAAAUGGAAUCAGUCAUUACACCACAGCUCCUCAUACACCGCAACAAAAUGGUGUUUCUGAGCGUCGUCAUCGUCACUUGGUUGAAACCGGUCUCACAUUACUACAUGAUGCAUCCCUUCCCCUUCAGUAUUGGCCCUAUGCUUUUUCCACUGCUGCAUAUCUUAUUAACCGUCAACCCACACCUCUCCUCCACCAUAAAUCUCCGUUUGAAACUUUGUUUACACAGCCUCCAAAUUAUAAAAAGCUAAAAAAAUUCGGUUGUCUUUGUUUUCCUCUUGUUCGGCCAUAUAACACAAACAAGUUACAACCAAAAUCAAUUCCAUGUAUUUUCGUAGGCUACUCCUUAACCCAAAAUGCAUACAGCUGCCUUGAUCCCAUAACCAACCGUCUCUACCAAUCACGCCAUGUCAUCUUUCAUGAAAAUGAAAAUGGUUUCUCCUCCAACCAUCCUUCCACACCCAGCCCGACAAGCGACUCCUCUGUUCAUGGUCCUCUUUCAUCUCCUCCUGCACCUCCACCAGUGACUUCGGCAAGGAUACCCACUCUCACUGCUUCCUCAGGUAAUGACUCCCCCACUGUAUCUUUUAAUUCACGUGCACUCAUACCUUUAUCUUCUUCUGCUUCUCCUAGUUUUCAGCUUGCCUCAUCUCCACUGCCAAAUCCCAGUCAUCCACCCUCAUCAGUUAUUUGUGCACCUUCUCCAAGCUCACCUCCCUCAUCACCCAAUCCUGCACCCACCCGGCCUCACUCCAUGGUCACCCGUUCCAUGAAUAACAUUUAUAAACCCAAACAACUUAACAUCACCACAAAACACCCCAUCCCAAAAACUGUAGAACCAACCUGUGUGGGACAGGCUCUUCGUGAGCCACACUGGAGAUCAGCAAUGUCUGAGGAACUCACAGCCCUCAUGAGGCAUGGCACAUGGGAGUUGGUACCGCCUCCUCCGGACUGCCAACCAGUUGGGUGCAAAUGGGUUUUUCGGAUCAAACGACAUCCUAAUGGCUCCAUUGCUCGGUUCAAAGCCCGUUUGGUUGCAAAGGGAUAUCAUCAGCGGCCUGGUCUAGACUACAAUGAAACGUUCAGUCCAGUUGUGAAACCUGCCACCAUCAGAACAGUUCUCACCGUGGCUGUCACACAGGGGUGGCCAUUACGGCAGCUAGAUGUAAACAAUGCCUUUUUGCAUGGGAACCUGCAGGAAACAGUCUACAUGUUACAGCCACCGGGGUUCCAUGAUACCUCCACUCCCCAUCAUGUCUGUCGGUUAAACAAGGCUAUUUAUGGCCUCAAACAGGCCCCUCGUGCCUGGUAUUCUGCUCUGCAACAAGCCAUUCUGAAACUGGGAUUCACCAGCUCCAAAGCCGAUCCUUCUCUAUUUAUCUUUCACAGUGCAGAUGUUUUGUGUUACUUGCUGGUCUACGUGGAUGAUCUCGUUCUCACUGGAAACACUCCAUCCUUCCUGACUCAUGUGAUUGAUCAACUUAGCAUCCAAUUCUCAUUGAAAGAUAUGGGUGCACUUCAUCAUUUUCUGGGGCUAGAUGUUAUACCCACCAAAAACGGGUUGUUCUUAUCUCAACAUCAAUACAUACGGAUCUUCUCUUCAAAACUAAUAUGCAGGGUGCUAAGGAUGUCUCUUCUCCUAUGUCCACUUCGGUCCAGCUCAAGCUUAUUGAUGGCACAGCUCCCUGUGACAGCACUGCAUUUCGAAGCAUCAUCGGUGGAUUACAAUAUUUGUCUCUUACUCGUCCUGAUGUUUCCUUCACUGUUAAUAAGCUGUCACAAUUCAUGCAUCAACCUACGGUCACUCACUGGUCAGCUGCCAAACGCCUGCUCCGCUAUUUGAAGAAAACCAUCUUCCUUGGCAUUCACAUAAAUCGUCAGUCUUCAUUUGAUAUCACCACUUUUGCUGAUGCUGAUUGGGCUGGGAAUUAUGAUGAUCGCACCUCCACCUCAGCUUACAUUACAUUCCUUGGGCUCAAUCCCAUCUCGUGGAGCUCAAAGAAACAACGUGCAGUCGCCAGGUCCUCCACAGAAGCUGAGUAUCGUUCCCUUGCCACUGCUACGUCUGAAACAGUUUGGCUGUUGUCCCUGUUCAAAGAACUGUGUCUCCCAAUUUCAUCUCCGCCAAGGCUGUUGUGUGACAACCUGGGAGCUACACACCUUAGCUUCAAUCCAGUUCAGCAUUCCCGGAUGAAACACAUUCAGAUAGACCUCCACUUUGUCCGUGAUAUGGUUCACAAGAAGAUCCUCAAUGUUCAGCAUGUCAAUACUCAUGACCAAUUGGCAGACUUUCUAACGAAGCCUCUGUCUUCCCAGCGUCUGCAUUCCUUACUGCUCAAGAUUGGCUUAGCUGAUGGCUCAUCCAUCUUGCGGGAGCGUAUAAAGGAAAUCCCCUCAGAUUCAGCCAAUAUUCAAAUUUCCCAGAUUCAGCCAAUAUUCACUUGCCUCUUGCCCAUGAUCCUGCAACCAUCAUUCAAGCAUAAUAUCAAGCUUGUAACGGCAGACAAAUCUUCAACGUAAAUGCAGUAUAAAUGUCAAGACGUAAUCUUAGCUUACUUUCUAAAUUCAAACCUGCAAAGCUGUGUAUAUAUAUGUUAACAAUUGUAUUACUCAAGGUGUGGCGAAAUAUACAAUUCUGAAGUUUAUCAAAUAGCUCAACUCUCUGAAAUUUCUUAUCUUCAUCAGGGUGAUCAUUUUAAAGAUUUUUUAGUAUAAUUUCUCAAAGUAUAAUGGGGAAAUGAAAACACGAUCAAAGCACAAGAAUAUUUUUUUUUUUUGUAAUUAUCCAUGAACUCAUGAAUAGUUGUAAAGUUUUUGAAGUGAGAUAAUGUUUGGUGAUUUAACUAGUUAGUUGGCCUGCAUUUUAUCGCGUGAUGAAGAAAUUUCUUGCUUUGCAAUGAAAAAUAAAAAGAAUUAUCUUGCAAUAUCGAUAAUAAACACAACAAAUUAAAACAAAAUAAAACUAAGUUUGUUUACAUGUUGGUCGUUAAUUUAAGAUUAAAAUUUAUGGUUAAUUAAAAUUUUUUUUUACUAUAUUUCAUAUGUCACAAAUAUUUGUGUUAUAAAUAUUGUUAUUUUUAUUAUAAUUAAAAAUACUAAUAUAAAAAUAUUGUUGUUUGUGCUAUAAAUAUGAUUAUUUUUAUUAUAAUUAAUUUGAUUAAUAAAAUAAUUAAUAAAUUUGAAAAACAAAUUAUUAUCAAUAUUGAAAAACAACCAUAGAUUUGAUUUGAAAUGUAAAAUUGAAAAUUGUUAUUGUUAUCAUUAAUAAAUUUGAAAAAAAAAUACUAUUAUUACUAUUGAAGAAAAUCCAUAAUUUUUCAAAAAAAUUAAAAAAUAUAAGAAUUUAGACGGACAAGUUAAAUAUUAUUAUUUAUAUUAUAAAUAUUAUCGUUGGGUUUGACAUUACAGUUAGACUCGACUCCUUCAAUUCUUGUGUUGCAACCAGACCAAAGCUUUUGAGUCAUAUAUUUUUUUUAUAUUUUUUAUGAAAAUAAAACGUUGGCCGCAACCUAACUAAUAAUUACUAAAUGAGGACUCCAAAUAAAUUAAUUCAUUUGAUUGCUAUGUGAGAUUUUUUAUAAAAUACUUCAAGGAAAACAAACAUAUUAAAAUCAUAAAAACAUUUUACUAUAAAAUAUUAUACAGAAUAAACGUAACUUACUCUAAAUUUCCUCAAACAAUCUUGCAUUGCAAGAUUAAAUGGGCAGUAACAACGCCAGGAAUGCUUUCUUGUGGAUUUAAACACAUUUUUCUAUUCCUCUUAAUUAUGGGAGGGGGGAGCUAUCUUCUGCUGUGUAGGAAGAUCUGAUGAAACAAAGGAACAAUUGUUUUCAUUUUACCAAAAACAUAUUUAGUGGAGUCGUACUAUUGAUUAAAAAUCAUCUACCAGAAGUGGAGUAUCCUCAAUACAAGUUGUUGCAACUCUGAAGAACAUAUUGCUAGUAUUUGUUGAGACUUGAGAAUAGCAUUACCCAUCUAGAAACCUGGCCAAAAUAUAGGUUUCAGUUUUCCAGCCAUAAUCCCGACAAAUGAGAUAAGGUGGGAAACAACUUUACAGGCAUUAACAUUAGAAUAAAAAUCAUCAGGAAGCUCCUAAAUGCUGCGUAAACAUAUAGCAAUUUUAUAAAGAAAAGGAAUACAUGACAUGAAAAUAAAAUACAAAUACUUUGCAGGUGAAUUCCUUAUUAUGAACCACAAAACGCAGCUCAUACAGCGGUAAAAAAAGAAGUAGGACUUGGAGGGAUUGGGAUUUCGACGGUCCCAUCCAACAUGAGGAGGACCAUUUUCAUUGAAGGGCGGAGGGAUGGCUCAUCAAGAGUGCACCAAAGUCCCACUUUAACCAUCCUAUCUAACUGUUUCUUUUCGACGACUUCUUCACCCACAAGUUUGUCCAUAUCACCGUCCUGAAAACAUUGAUAAACCCACUGUUCGAGAACAGCUUCAUCCUCUGGAAGACUCCAAUCCACAUUCUUUCGACAACACGUGAUCUCCAACAACAUAACUCCAAAGCUAUAAACAUCUGCUUUAACUGUCACCGGCAUAUUCCGGUGCCAUUCUGGUGCUACAUAUCCCCUUGUCCCUCUGAUUCCCGUGAAGGUUUUAGUUUGGUCUGACUUCAGAAACUUUGCCAAUCCAAAGUCAGAAACUUUGGGGCACCUGCUUUCAUCUAUUAGUAUAUUCUGAGGUUUUAUAUCACAGUGGAUGAUCUGAGUGUCGCACUCUUCAUGUAGAUAAACAAUACCCCUUGCAAUGUUGCGAGCAAUUUCCAACCUUUCAGGGAAGCAAGGUCGUUUUUCAAGUGAGAAGAGUAUGUCAGCAAGGGAGCCAUUGCUCAUGUACUCGUAUACCAGGAGCCUGUGAUGUUCAUCAUGGCAAUAGCCGAGCAGACGGACUAGGUUUCUGUGAUGUGUUUUCCCAAUGACUUUCAUCUCAUUCUGAAAUUCUCUUUCCCCUUCAGCUAGAGCUUUCUCCAGUCUCUUGACAGCAACAACCUUCCGAGUACU
rnacentral:lncRNA from 1 species